rnacentral:rRNA from 1 species
UCCGUAGGCGGGCGUCUAAGUCAGUGGUGAAAUCUUACAGCUCAACUGUAAAAUUGCCAUUGAUACUGGAUGUCUUGAAUUAGUGUGAAGUGGUUAGAAUGUGUAGUGUAGCGGUGAAAUGCAUAGAUAUUACACAGAAUACCAAUUGCGAAGGCAGAUCACUAACACUAUAUUGACGCUGAGGGAUGAAAGCGUGGGGAGCGAACAGGAUUAGAUACCCUGGUAGUCC